rnacentral:rRNA from 1 species
UACGUAGGGGGCGAGCGUUGUUCGGAUUCAUUGGGCGUAAAGGGCUCGUUAGGGUGCUUUGUAAGUCGGAGGUGAAAUCCCAUGGCUCAACCAAUGGACACGCCUUCGAAACUGUGAGCUUGAGGCUGGGAGAGGAGAUCGGAAUUCCUGGUGUAGCGGUGAAAUGCGUAGAUAUCUGGAGGAACACCGGUGGCGAAGGCGGCAUCCUGGACCGGUAUUGACGCUGAUGCGCGAAAGCCCAGGGGAGCAAACGGG